rnacentral:rRNA from 1 species
UACAGAGGGGGCAAGCGUUGUUCGGAAUUACUGGGCGUAAAGGGCGCGUAGGCGGCCUGUUAAGUCGAACGUGAAAUCCCCGGGCUCAACCCGGGAACUGCGUCCGAUACUGGCAGGCUUGAAUUCGGGAGAGGGAUGCGGAAUUCCAGGUGUAGCGGUGAAAUGCGUAGAUAUCGGGAGGAACACCUGUGGCGAAAGCGGCUCACUGGACCACAACUGACGCUGAGGCGCGAAAGCUAGGGGAGCAAACAGG